AAGGAUCAUUACUGAUUUGCUUAAUUGCACCACAUGUGUUUUUCUUUGAAACAAACUUGCUUUGGCGGUGGGCCCAGCCUGCCGCCAGAGGUCUAAACUUACAACCAAUUUUUUAUCAACUUGUCACACCAGAUUAUUACUUAAUAGUCAAAACUUUCAACAACGGAUCUCUUGGUUCUCGCAUCGAUGAAGAACGCAGCGAAAUGCGAUACGUAAUAUGAAUUGCAGAUAUUCGUGAAUCAUCGAAUCUUUGAACGCACAUUGCGCCCUCUGGUAUUCCGGAGGGCAUGCCUGUUUGAGCGUCGUUUCUCCCUCAAACCGCUGGGUUUGGUGUUGAGCAAUACGACUUGGGUUUGCUUGAAAGACGGUAGUGGUAAGGCGGGAUCGCUUUGACAAUGGCUUAGGUCUAACCAAAAACAUUGCUUGCGGCGGUAACGUCUACCACGUAUAUCUUCAAACUUUGACCUCAAAUCAGGUAGGACUACCCGCUGAACUUAA
rnacentral:sRNA from 1 species